UACGUAGGGGGCAAGCGUUAUCCGGAUUUACUGGGUGUAAAGGGAGCGUAGGUGGUAAGGCAAGCCAGAAGUGAAAGCCCGGGGCUCAACCCCGAGGAUUGCUUUUGGAACUGUCGAACUAGAGUGCAGGAGGGGCAAGCGGAAUUCCUAGUGUAGCGGUGAAAUGCGUAGAUAUUAGGAGGAACACCAGUGGCGAAGGCGGCUUGCUGGACUGUAACUGACACUGAGGCUCGAAAGCGUGGGGAGCAAACAGG
rnacentral:rRNA from 1 species